UAGAUUGAAGCCCGCUGGAUUGGGUGUUUAGUUGUUAACUAGGUUUUUGCGGGAUCAAGGCCCGUCGGUCUAGA
rnacentral:tRNA from 1 species